CCUACGGGCGGCAGCAGUGAGGAAUAUUGGUCAAUGGACGCAAGUCUGAACCAGCCAUGCCGCGUGCAGGAUGACGGCUCUAUGAGUUGUAAACUGCUUUUGUACGAGGGUAAAACCCGAUACGUGUAUCGGGGUGAAAGUAUCGUACGAAUAAGGAUCGGCUAACUCCGUGCCAGCAGCCGCGGUAAGACGGAGGAGCAGAGCGGUAUGCGGAUUUAUUGGGUUUAAAGGGUGCGUAGGCGGUUUGGUAAGUUAGAGGUGAAAUGUCGGGGCUCAACCCCGGAACUGCCUCUAAUACUGUUUGACUAGAGAAUGGUUGCGGUAGGUGGAAUGUAUGGUGUAGCGGUGAAAUGCUUAGAGAUC
rnacentral:rRNA from 1 species